AGGCUCAUGAGAACAGGUGAAAGAGUGAACGUUUCAGACAUUCAUUUUGAGUCGACGGCAGAAGGAAGAACACCGGCAGGGUGAGUGUUCAUUCAACAUUUUUAUUAUUUUACAGUCAAAGUGUUUGAGUUUGUUUUCUCCCUGUGGACUGUAGACCAAAGAAAUGUUAGAAUGAACUCAACAGUUUGAUUCAUCUGUGGACACAAAGUGCUGAUUGGCUGAAUAAUACACAGUGAACCUGCUGUAACCCAGAAAACACACAGACUGAAAGAAAAGAGAGCAGACUGACUUCAGAGCAGAAGAUGAGUGUUUGUGUGGAGGAAGAGGAGGACAGAGCAGAGUCUGCAGUGUCCAGCUGUCUGUCUAUGAAGCGUGAUUGGGCCAAAGAUCCUCCUCUGAAGUUCAAUGAUGAACCUGGACCCUCAGACACAAAAUAUUGAUUAUUCAGAGAUCAGCUGUUCCUCUCUGGUCUCAGCUCUGAAGUCCAACCCCUCCCAUCUGAGAGAGCUGGACCUGAGGAACAACAAGCUGAAGGAUUCAGAUGUGAAGCUGCUGUCUGAUCUUGUGAAGAGUCCACACUGUAGACUGGAGACUCUGAGAUGGAAGUUGUUUUAUUAACAGUGAGCGGUGAUGAAGGAGGUUGUGUUGGAGGAUCCGCUGUGUCCUGAUGAUCCAGAGAGGUUGAAGCAGCAGCAUCAGCUCUGACUGGGCCAUGUUACUGGGAGGUAGAGUGGAGAGGAGAGCUUCAUCCAGCAGUGACUGACAGAGGAAUCACAACCAGUGGAAAACAUUUUUGGACAGUUCAACUUAAAAUGUGUAUCUCAUAAGUGCCAUUUACAAGAAAUCCGAAAGUUUUCAGAAGAAAAAGAAAAAGAUGAAAAUGGGAAAGACAUGAAUCACUAAGGAAAACAUAAAAACAAGACGUUAAUUGAAAUAGACCAAAUAAUUAAGAGCUCAGAAUCUUAAUAUGAACACAAAAGUCUUCACAGUUAAAUUACAAAAUGUCACCAAUUUUAUAAAAAUAAAAGUAAAUAAGAAUAA